rnacentral:rRNA from 1 species
UACGUAGGUGGCGAGCGUUGUCCGGAUUUACUGGGCGUAAAGGGCGUGCAGGCGGUCUGCUAAGUCUAGGGUGAAAGCCCUCGGCUCAACCGGGGAAGUGCACUCGAAACUGCAAGGCUAGAGUCUCGGAGAGGAUCGUGGAAUUCUCGGUGUAGAGGUGAAAUUCGUAGAUAUCGAGAGGAACACCGGUGGCGAAGGCGGGUCUCUGGGCCGAUACUGACGCUGAGGAGCGAAAGCCAGGGGAGCAAACAGG